rnacentral:pre_miRNA from 1 species
GUCCAUUGGAAUCUCAUACUGAAACAGGCCUAGACUGGUGUCAAUAUUUCAUAUUUUGAUUAUCAUCAUAUUGCACUCGUCCCGGCCUGUUACGGUAUUUAAUCGUGUUUUUAGUGCUCG